rnacentral:rRNA from 1 species
AUUGUUGCCUCGGCGGAUCAGCCCGCUCCCGGUAAAACGGGACGGCCCGCCAGAGGACCCCUAAACUCUGUUUCUAUAUGUAACUUCUGAGUAAAACCAUAAAUAAAUCAAAACUUUCAACAACGGAUCUCUUGGUUCUGGCAUCGAUGAAGAACGCAGCAAAAUGCGAUAAGUAAUGUGAAUUGCAGAAUUCAGUGAAUCAUCGAAUCUUUGAACGCACAUUGCGCCCGCCAGUAUUCUGGCGGGCAUGCCUGUUCGAGCGUCAUUUCAACCCUCAAGCCCCCGGGUUUGGUGUUGGGGAUCGGCGAGCCUCACGGCAAGCCGGCCCCGAAAUAUAGUGGCGGUCUCGCUGCAGCUUCCAUUGCGUAGUAGUAAAACCCUCGCAACUGGUACGCGGCGCGGCCAAGCCGUUAAACCCCCAACUUCUGAAUGUUGACCUCGGAUCAGGUAGGAAUACCCGCUGAACUUAAGCAUAUCAAUAAGGCGGAGG